GAUGAACGCUAGCGGCAGGCUUAACACAUGCAAGUCGAGGGGUAACAGGGGUGCUUGCACUCGCUGACGACCGGCGCACGGGUGAGUAACGCGUAUGCAACCUACCCAUAACUGGGGAAUAGCUUUCGGAAACGAAAAUUAAUACCCCAUAGUAUUAUAAUACCGCAUGGUAUAAUAAUUAAAGUUCCGACGGUUAUGGAUGGGCAUGCGUGCCAUUAGUUAGUUGGUGAGGUAACGGCUCACCAAGGCGAUGAUGGCUAGGGGGUCUUAAAGGAUGGUCCCCCACACUGGUACUGAGACACGGACCAGACUCCUACGGGAGGCAGCAGUGAGGAAUAUUGGUCAAUGGGCGCAAGCCUGAACCAGCCAUGCCGCGUGCAGGAAGACGGCCCUAUGGGUUGUAAACUGCUUUUAUAUAGGAAGAAAAUGUUCUACGUGUAGAGCACUGACGGUACUAUAAGAAUAAGCAUCGGCUAACUCCGUGCCAGCAGCCGCGGUAAUACGGAGGAUGCAAGCGUUAUCCGGAUUUAUUAGGUUUAAAGGGUGUGUAGGCGGAAUUUUAAGUCAGUGGUGAAAUCUCACAUCUCAACUGUGAACUGCCAUUGAUACUGAUGUUCUUGAAUAUAGUUGAGGUAGGCGGAAUGUGUAAUGUAGCGGUGAAAUGCUUAGAUAUUACACAGAACACCGAUUGCGAAGGCAGCUUACUAAACUAUUAUUGACGCUGAUGUACGAAAGCGUGGGGAGCGAACAGGAUUAGAUACCCUGGUAGUCCACGCCGUAAACGAUGAUCACUCGUUGUUUGUGAUAUACAAUAAGCGACCGAGCGAAAGCAUUAAGUGAUCCACCUGGGGAGUACGUUCGCAAGAAUGAAACUCAAAGGAAUUGACGGGGGCCCGCACAAGCGGAGGAACAUGUGGUUUAAUUCGAUGAUACGCGAGGAACCUUACCUGGGUUUAAAUGUAGAUUGCAUGAUCGGGAAACUGAUCUUUCCUUCGGGACUAUUUACAAGGUGCUGCAUGGUUGUCGUCAGCUCGUGCCGUGAGGUGUCGGGUUAAGUCCCAUAACGAGCGCAACCCUCAUUGCCAGUUGCCAUCACGUAAAGGUGGGGACUCUGGUGAAACUGCCGGUGUAAACCGCGAGGAAGGUGGGGAUGACGUCAAAUCAGCACGGCCCUUAUGUCCAGGGCUACACACGUGUUACAAUGGCCAAUACAAUGGGCAGCCACCUGGCAACAGGGAGCAAAUCCACAAAAUUGGUCUUAGUUCGGAUCGGAGUCUGCAACUCGACUCCGUGAAGCUGGAUUCGCUAGUAAUCGUACAUCAGCAAUGGUACGGUGAAUACGUUCCCGGGCCUUGUACACACCGCCCGUCAAGCCAUGGAAGUUGGGGGUGCCUGAAGUCCGUAACCGCAAGGAUCGGCCUAGGGUAAAACCGAUGACUGGGGCU
rnacentral:rRNA from 1 species